GACGAACGCUGGCGGCGUGCUUAACACAUGCAAGUCGAACGAAAAUACCAAGCUUGCUUGGUUGAUUAGUGGCGAACGGGUGAGUAACACGUGAGUAACCUGCCCCUUACUUUCUGGAUAACUGCUCGAAAGGGUAGCUAAUACGGGAUAUUCUGGCCUUCCUGCAUGGGUUGGUUUGGAAAGGUUGUUUUUCCUGGUGAGGGAUGGGCUCGCGGCCUAUCAGCUUGUUGGUGGGGUGAUGGCCUACCAAGGCUUUGACGGGUAGCCGGCCUGAGAGGGUGGACGGUCACACUGGGACUGAGAUACGGCCCAGACUCCUACGGGAGGCAGCAGUGGGGAAUAUUGCACAAUGGGCGCAAGCCUGAUGCAGCGACGCCGCGUGAGGGAUGAAGGCCUUCGGGUUGUAAACCUCUUUCGUCAGGGAACAAGGCAUUGCCUUUUUGGUGGUGUUGAGGGUACCUGGAUAAGAAGCGCCGGCUAACUACGUGCCAGCAGCCGCGGUAAUACGUAGGGCGCAAGCGUUGUCCGGAAUUAUUGGGCGUAAAGAGCUCGUAGGCGGCUGGUCGCGUCUGUCGUGAAAACUUCCGGCUCAACCGGGGGCUUGCGGUGGGUACGGGCCGGCUAGAGUGCGGUAGGGGUAACUGGAACUCCUGGUGUAGCGGUGGAAUGCGCAGAUAUCAGGAAGAACACCGAUGGCGAAGGCAGGUUACUGGGCCGUUACUGACGCUGAGGAGCGAAAGCGUGGGGAGCGAACAGG
rnacentral:rRNA from 1 species